rnacentral:rRNA from 1 species
UACGUAGGGCGCGAGCGUUGUCCGGAAUUAUUGGGCGUAAAGAGCUCGUAGGCGGCCUGUCGCGUCGGUUGUGAAAGUCCGGGGCUCAACCCCGGGUCUGCAGUCGAUACGGGCAGGCGUAGAGUUCGGUAGGGGAGAUCGGAAUUCCUGGUGUAGCGGUGAAAUGACGCAGAUAUCAGGAGGAACACCGGUGGCGAAGGCGGAUCUCUGGGCCGACACUGACGCUGAGGAGCGAAAGCGUGGGGAGCGAACAGG